rnacentral:rRNA from 1 species
CCUACGGGUGGCUGCAGUGGGGAAUAUUGGGCAAUGGGCGCGAGCCUGACCCAGCAACGCCGCGUGAAGGAAGAAGGCUCUCGGGUUGUAAACUUCUUUUGUCAGGGACGAAGCAAGUGACGGUACCUGACUAAUGAGCCACGGCUAACUACGUGCCAGCAGCCGCGGUAAUACGUAGGUGGCAAGCGUUAUGCGGAUUUACUGGGUGUAAAGGUCGUGUAGGCGGGACGGCAAGUCAGAUGUGAAAACCACGGGCUGAAGCUGUGGACUGCAUGUGAAACUGUAGUUCUUGAGUACUGGAGAGGCAGACGGAAUUCGUAGUGUAGCGGUGAAAUGCGUAGAUAUUAGGAGGAACACCAGUGGCGAAGGCAGUCUGCUAGACAGCAACUGACGCUGAGGCGCGAAAGCGUGGGGAGCAAACAGGAUUAGAUACCCGUGUAGUC